UAAGCAAUCUGCCCAUCGGCCUGGGAUAACAGUUGGAAACGACUGCUAAUACCGGAUAGGUGAUGAAGAGGCAUCUCUCGAUCAUUAAAGUUGGGAUACAACACGGAUGGAUGAGCUUAUGGCGUAUUAGCUAGUAGGUGAGGUAACGGCUCACCUAGGCGAUGAUACGUAGCCGACCUGAGAGGGUGACCGGCCACAUUGGGACUGAGACACGGCCCAA
rnacentral:rRNA from 1 species